UCAAUGAUGAUAACUUUUUGUCCAGUUCUGCUACUGAAUGCAAGUGCUGAUAGUUAAGACUCUGAGA